rnacentral:rRNA from 1 species
CCUACGGGAGGCAGCAGUGAGGAAUAUUGGUCAAUGGACGAGAGUCUGAACCAGCCAAGUAGCGUGAAGGAUGACUGCCCUAUGGGUUGUAAACUUCUUUUAUAAAGGAAUAAAACGAGGCACGUGUGCCUUUUUGCAUGUACUGUAUGAAUAAGGAUCGGCUAACUCCGUGCCAGCAGCCGCGGUAAUACGGAGGAUCCGAGCGUUAUCCGGAUUUAUUGGGUUUAAAGGGAGCGUAGAUGGGUUGUUAAGUCAGUUGUGAAAGUUUGCGGCUCAACCGUAAAAUUGCAAUUGAUACUGGCAGUCUUGAGUACAGUUGAGGUAGGCGGAAUUCGUGGUGUAGCGGUGAAAUGCUUAGAUAUCACGAAGAACCCCGAUUGCGAAGGCAGCUUACUAAGCUGUGACUGACAUUGAUGCUCGAAAGUGUGGGUAGCAAACAGGAUUAGAUACCCGAGUAGUC